rnacentral:rRNA from 1 species
ACUCCUACGGGAGGCAGCAGUGGGGAAUAUUGCACAAUGGGCGAAAGCCUGAUGCAGCAACGCCGCGUGAGUGAUGAAGGCUUUCGAGUCGUAAAGCUCUUUGAUCAGGGAUGAUAAUGACAGUACCUGAAAAACAAGCCACGGCUAACUAC